AACGAACGCUGGCGGCGUGCCUAACACAUGCAAGUCGAGCGCGAAAAGGGCAACCUGAGUAGAGCGGCGCACGGGUGCGUAACACGUGGGUAAUCUGCCUUAGAGUCGAGGAUAACCUUCCGAAAGGUUGGCUAAUACUCGGUAAGCUUACGGUGUCUUCGGACGCUGUGGGAAAAGUAGGCCUCUGUUUACAAGCUUACGCUCUGAGAUGAGCCCGCGGCCCAUCAGCUAGUUGGCGGUGUAACGGACCACCAAGGCAACGACGGGUAGCUGGUCUGAGAGGACGAUCAGCCACACUGGAACUGAGACACGGUCCAGACUCCUACGGGAGGCAGCAGUGGGGAAUUUUCCACAAUGGGCGAAAGCCUGAUGGAGCAACGCCGCGUGUGUGAUGAAGGUUUUCGGAUCGUAAAGCACUUUCGACUGGGACGAAAAACCUUUGGCUAACAUCCAGGGGCCUGACGGUACCAGGAGAAGAAGCACCGGCUAACUCUGUGCCAGCCGCCGCGGUAAGAC
rnacentral:rRNA from 1 species